UACAGAGGGUGCGAGCGUUGUUCGGAAUUACUGGGCGUAAAGCGCGCGCAGGCGGCCCUUUAAGUCCGUCGGUGAAAGACCGGGGCUCAACCCCGUGUCAGCCAUGGAUACUGGAGGGCUGGAGACAGGUAGAGGCAAGCGGAAUUCCGGGUGUAGCGGUGGAAUGCGUAGAUAUCCGGAAGAACACCGGAGGCGAAGGCGGCUUGCUGGACCUGGUCUGACGCUGAGGCGCGAAAGCGUGGGGAGCGAACAGG
rnacentral:rRNA from 1 species